AGAGUUUGAUCCUGGCUCAGAUUGAACGCUGGCGGCAUGCUUUACACAUGCAAGUCGAACGGUAACAGGGAGCUUGCUCCGCUGACGAGUGGCGAACGGGUGAGUAAUGCAUCGGAACGUGCCUAUUUGUGGGGGAUAACGUAGCGAAAGUUACGCUAAUACCGCAUACGCCCUGAGGGGGAAAGCGGGGGAUUCGUAAGAACCUCGCGCAAUUAGAGCGGCCGAUGUCGGAUUAGCUAGUUGGUGGGGUAAAGGCUCACCAAGGCGACGAUCCGUAGCGGGUCUGAGAGGAUGAUCCGCCACACUGGGACUGAGACACGGCCCAGACUCCUACGGGAGGCAGCAGUGGGGAAUUUUGGACAAUGGGCGAAAGCCUGAUCCAGCCAUGCCGCGUGAGUGAAGAAGGCCUUCGGG
rnacentral:rRNA from 1 species